rnacentral:pre_miRNA from 1 species
UUUACUCAAAUUUGUAUGGAGUUGAAAUGUUUGCCUACAUUUGCCGCUAGGAGCGCUGUGCAAACUGCAUACAAAUUCGAGUUA